ACUCCUGCGGGAGGCAGCAGUGGGGAAUAUUGGACAAUGGGCGCAAGCCUGAUCCAGCCAUGCCGCGUGAGUGAUGAAGGCCCUAGGGUUGUAAAGCUCUUUCACCGGAGAAGAUAAUGACGGUAUCCGGAGAAGAAGCCCCGGCUAACUUCGUGCCAGCAGCCGCGGUAAUACGAAGGGGGCUAGCGUUGUUCGGAAUUACUGGGCGUAAAGCGCACGUAGGCGGAUCGAUCAGUCAGGGGUGAAAUCCCAGGGCUCAACCCUGGAACUGCCUUUGAUACUGUCGAUCUGGAGUAUGGAAGAGGUGAGUGGAAUUCCGAGUGUAGAGGUGAAAUUCGUAGAUAUUCGGAGGAACACCAGUGGCGAAGGCGGCUCACUGGUCCAUUACUGACGCUGAGGUGCGAAAGCGUGGGGAGCAAACAGGAUUAGAAACCCUUGUAGUCCCAUG
rnacentral:rRNA from 1 species